GUUUAUGGCCAUAUCACUUUGAAAACACCGGUUCUCGUCUGAUCACCGAAGUUAAGUAACAUUGAGCCUAGUUAGUACUUAGAUGGGUGACCUCUUGGGAAACCUAGGCGCUGUAAACG
rnacentral:rRNA from 1 species